rnacentral:piRNA from 1 species
UAAAUUGGAACUGGGACCUAAA